UUUUUGUUUUUAAGCUUGCCUUCCUAGAGCUCACCCAUGCAUUUGUAUAGCUUGGCUUUCAGUAAAAGAUUGCACAGAGAUUGUUUCACACUUCAAGCCAAAAAGGCUUCCACUUUCUGCUGAUGGAUCUUUGUGCAAGCUGGAGAAAAUAUUAAACCAUUAGAUCAUUUUCAACUCUUCCCAGGCUUUUAACUUUCCACCAGGUUUUUGUCACAUAAUCUCUGCACCUGCAUGCAGGUUCUGUCAGCCAAGGAUAGGUGGAUGACUUGGGACCUCUCUGGUCCCUGUGUACAUAUGCACAGCCUCAACUGUUAGGAUCUAUUUAAGACCUGAACAUAUGAGAAAGCUAUGUGCUGUACCAAGAGUUUCCUUUUUUGUUUUGAAGAGAAGUUAAGUGUAAUUUGAUUUUUUCUCAAGGGCCACCUUACAUUACACACUUUCUAAUAGAUAAUAAAGCUCAUUACAAAGCAAGGGCAUCCCACAGCAGAGCACCACGAAAAAGUAUGUAUAUUUUAUUAUACUAAACAUUUACAUCUAGAGAAGAUUGAUGCAUUUGUUAAUGUUGUUGUUCUAUGCUAAGAAAAAAUAAAAGAAAAAGAAAAAAGAAACAUGAAUGACCCCUGCAGGCUGUUCAGUGUCAUUAAAAACACUAUGACUUUUUAAAAAUAGCCAUACUAGAUGGGAGUUACAGCCCAAAAAACUCCAAAUACAUCUGAUUUCAGAGGAAGGUGCAAAGCCAACUGUAUAGCUACAUCUGAUUAUUUUCUGAUUAUUGCACUAAGGGGAAAGAAGGCUAAUAUCAAAUGAAAAUAGAUAAAUAAAAUCUUCUCUCUGGGAAACAUACUUAUGACACUGGGCUAUAUAAAAUAUAGGUUUCAGCCAAAAUUAACAAAAAGGCUACCCCCUCUAGCCUUCAGUCACCAAGUAUUUUCUCUUAAUUUGUAAAAAAUCCAUUUAUUUAUUCACUAGGCAUUCAUGGAGCAUCUGCUGUGGGCCAAACACUGGGCCAAGCACUCUACUAAAUACUGGAUAUAUGGAGUGUAUGAGUUAGCCUCUGUGUCCUAAAAGACCUUACAAUUGAGCAAGGGAGAAGAAUUAAUAAACCUAACAUGUAAGCAUACUAUAAUCAGUGCUAUGAAAAAGAAAUCCUACCUGAAAGGAUCAGAGAACACUUCCCAAAAGAGAUGACAUGAAUGGAUCCUGAAACAUAAAUAGGAAUUA
rnacentral:lncRNA from 1 species